AUGAACGCUAGCUACAGGCUUAACACAUGCAAGUCGAGGGGCAGCAUGGUCUUAGCUUGCUAAGGCCGAUGGCGACCGGCGCACGGGUGAGUAACACGUAUCCAACCUGCCGUCUACUCUUGGACAGCCUUCUGAAAGGAAGAUUAAUACAAGAUGGCAUCAUGAGUCCGCAUGUUCACAUGAUUAAAGGUAUUCCGGUAGACGAUGGGGAUGCGUUCCAUUAGAUAGUAGGCGGGGUAACGGCCCACCUAGUCUUCGAUGGAUAGGGGUUCUGAGAGGAAGGUCCCCCACAUUGGAACUGAGACACGGUCCAAACUCCUACGGGAGGCAGCAGUGAGGAAUAUUGGUCAAUGGGCGAGAGCCUGAACCAGCCAAGUAGCGUGAAGGAUGACUGCCCUAUGGGUUGUAAACUUCUUUUAUAAAGGAAUAAAGUCGGGUAUGGAUACCCGUUUGCAUGUACUUUAUGAAUAAGGAUCGGCUAACUCCGUGCCAGCAGCCGCGGUAAUACGGAGGAUCCGAGCGUUAUCCGGAUUUAUUGGGUUUAAAGGGAGCGUAGAUGGAUGUUUAAGUCAGUUGUGAAAGUUUGCGGCUCAACCGUAAAAUUGCAGUUGAUACUGGAUAUCUUGAGUGCAGUUGAGGCAGGCGGAAUUCGUGGUGUAGCGGUGAAAUGCUUAGAUAUCACGAAGAACUCCGAUUGCGAAGGCAGCCUGCUAAGCUGCAACUGACAUUGAGGCUCGAAAGUGUGGGUAUCAAACAGGAUUAGAUACCCUGGUAGUCCACGCCGUAAACGAUGAAUGCUAGGUGUUGGGGGGCAAAGCCCUUCGGUGCCGUCGCAAACGCAGUAAGUAUCCCACCUGGGGAGUACGGCCGCAAGGUUGAAACUCAAAGGAAUUGACGGGGGCCCGCACAAGCGGAGGAACAUGUGGUUUAAUUCGAUGAUACGCGAGGAACCUUACCCGGGCUUAAAUUGCAGAUGAAUUACGGUGAAAGCCGUAAGCCGCAAGGCAUCUGUGAAGGUGCUGCAUGGUUGUCGUCAGCUCGUGCCGUGAGGUGUCGGCUUAAGUGCCAUAACGAGCGCAACCCUUGUUGUCAGUUACUAACAGGUUCCGCUGAGGACUCUGACAAGACUGCCAUCGUAAGAUGUGAGGAAGGUGGGGAUGACGUCAAAUCAGCACGGCCCUUACGUCCGGGGCUACACACGUGUUACAAUGGGGGGUACAGAGGGCCGCUACCACGCGAGUGGAUGCCAAUCCCCAAAACCUCUCUCAGUUCGGACUGGAGUCUGCAACCCGACUCCACGAAGCUGGAUUCGCUAGUAAUCGCGCAUCAGCCACGGCGCGGUGAAUACGUUCCCGGGCCUUGUACACACCGCCCGUCAAGCCAUGGGAGCCGGGGGUACCUGAAGUGCGUAACCGCGAGGAGCGCCCUAGGGUAAAACUGGUGACUGGGGCU
rnacentral:rRNA from 1 species